GUGGAAUCGUGUAUUGACAGUUAUCUACAGAUGAAAUGAAGGGAAAUUCAGCUAAUCAUGAGAAGAUACACUAAAAUACAAGAACGAAGUCCAUUUAAAGAUAUUACAAAUUCGGCUGACUUGCGGAUAUCGUCAAAUGGUAAACAAGGAAAGAUACGUGACGAUGACUCCAGAACAGCGUGAUGCCUACCUGCAAAGGAACCGUGAAUACAAACGGAGAAGGAAGAAUCAUGAUGCAUUUAGCGAGGGUGUGCAAUAUGCAGUUAGCCAAAUUAAUAAAAUUACCCACAUCAACAUGCACGCACCAGCUCUCGCCAACAGACGCGAGAAAGUUGGACUCUUAAACAUGUACCGAAGAAUCAAUUGGUGAAGAUUAUGUGCGCCUACCUGAAGAUAUAAUUAUUGGUUACACUGAUUCAGAAGCAUCGGUUAGUAAGUUAGUCAACGAUAUCUUUCCUGCACUUGACCACUAUGGAAGAUUGCCAUCCUAUAUAAGUGCCCGUGUCAUUAUUUCCACUAAGAAUGAAUAUGUGGAUGAAAUAAAUACGCUACUUAUAAACCGAUUUCCUGGGGAUGAAAAGGUUUACUACAAUUUUGAUUCAGCAGUGGAUGAUACACAGAAUCACUACCAACCCGAAUUCCUGAACUCUCUAACACCUAAUGGCUUGCCUCCACAUGUUCUCAAGUUGAAGAUCAACUGCCCAGUAAUCCUGCUUCGAAAUUUGGAUCCAUCUAAUGGAUUAUGCAAUGGCACAAGACUUAUUAUCAAGGCAUUUCAAGAUAAUGCUAUUGAUGCAGAAAUUAUUGGAGGACAACAUGCUGGAAAGCGCGUAUUCCUUCCAAGAAUUCCUUUAUACCCAUCUGAAGAUGAUGUAUUCCCCUUUAAAUUUACAAGAAAACAAUUUCCAAUUCGUCUUAGUUUUGCUAUGACAAUUAAUAAAGCUCAGGGCCAAACCAUUCCAAAUGUUGGCAUCUACCUUCCCGAGAAUGUGUUCUCUCAUGGUCAAUUAUAUGUUGCUUUGUCAAGAGGGAUAUCAAGGCAAACAACAAGAAUACUUGCCAAGCCAAACAAGGAUAUUGACUCAUCAGGCAAAAGUACCAAAAAUAUUGUGUAUAAGGAGGUAUUGAUGGUAUGAUAAAUUUGAAUUAUGAAUCAAUGCCUUUUGUUUCGUGUAUGAUACCGCUUUUCAUUCACUCCUAAUACAUAGGAAGUAGCAUGUUUUUUUGGCAGCACUAUAGUUCCAUUGCAUGCAAAACCACGGUGCAACUACGGGGGAAUUUGGAACCAUGUGCCUGUUUUGAACGCGAAUAACCUAAAGUGAAGGCCUAUGAUAGCCCUAUGUGUCCAUGUUUUCGAUCUUCACUUCUUUUGAAGAACACCAAAUUUAGUUCUGAUCCUAUGAAACAUGAAUGAUGUACUUAUGAAUCAGCUCCGUUGA